rnacentral:rRNA from 1 species
GAGGGAAACUUCUGAUAAUACUGGAUAAGUUAGUAUAUCGCAUGAUAUGCAAAUGAAAGCUAACGGCACUAAAGGAGAGCUUUGCGUCCUAUUAGCUAGUUGGUAAGGUAAGAGCUUACCAAGGCGAUGAUAGGUAGCCGGCCUGAGAGGGUGGACGGCCACAAGGGGACUGAGAUACGGCCCUUACUCCUACGGGAGGCAGCAGCC